rnacentral:rRNA from 1 species
CCUCCCACCCAUGUUUAUUGUACCUUGACUGCUUCGGCGGGCCCGCCUCACGGCCGCCGGGGGGCUUCUGCCCUCUGGACCGCGCCCGCCGAAGACACCAUUGAACACUGUCUGAAGAUUGCAGUCUGAGCAAUUAGCUAAAUAAGUUAAAACUUUCAACAACGGAUCUCUUGGUUCCGGCAUCGAUGAAGAACGCAGCGAAAUGCGAUACGAAAUGUGAAUUGCAGAAUUCCGUGAAUCAUCGAGUCUUUGAACGCACAUUGCGCCCCUUGGUAUUCCGGGGGGCAUGCCUGUCCGAGCGUCAUUGCUGCCCUCAAGCACGGCUUGUGUGUUGGGCCCCGUCCUCCUUCCCGGGGGACGGGCCCGAAAGGCAGCGGCGGCACCGCGUCCGGUCCUCGAGCGUAUGGGGCUUUGUCACCCGCUCUUGUAGGCCCGGCCGGCGCUUGCCGACAACAAUCAAUCUUUUUUCAGGUUGACCUCGGAUCAGGUAGGGAUACCCGCUGAACUUAAGCAUAUCAAUAAGCGGAGGA